UUCCCCAAAAACAAAAACGGCGGCGCCCUCCCAUCCAACUUGGCGACUUCACUCAGUUCUCGCUUUCCCCCAACAGGCGCUCCGCUCCAAAAUGUUUCUAAGACCUAUAUGACCCAAAGCUUCUUGAGAAUAAGGAUGACAAGUAUAUUAAAACUCAAAAUGGAGAAAAAAGAGGUAUGAUUCACAUUUGCUGCUUAG